rnacentral:rRNA from 1 species
UCCUGGCUCAGGAUGAACGCUAGCGAUAGGCCUAACACAUGCAAGUCGAGGGGCAGCACAUGAGUAGCAAUACGAUGGUGGCGACCGGCGCACGGGUGAGUAACACGUAUGCAACCUACCUUUAACAGGGGAAUAACCCGUUGAAAAACGGACUAAUACUCCAUAACACAGGGGUCCCGCAUGGGAAUAUUUGUUAAAGGUUAAUCGGUUGAAGAUGGGCAUGCGUUCCAUUAGCUUGUUGGUGAGGUAACGGCUCACCAAGGCCACGAUGGAUAGGGGAACUGAGAGGUUUAUCCCCCACACUGGAACUGAGACACGGUCCAGACUCCUACGGGAGGCAGCAGUGAGGAAUAUUGGUCAAUGGAGGCAACUCUGGACCAGCCAAGUCGCGUGAAGGAAUGAAGGUCUUAUGGAUUGUAAACUUCUUUUGCAAGGGAAUAAAGUGGGGGACGUGUCCUCCUUUGCAUGUACCUUGCGAAUAAGGAUCGGCUAACUCCGUGCCAGCAGCUGC